CAAUUUAAUUUCAACUAGAAUCAAACAAAUUCUCACAUAAGUAGAACUCGAUUUUAUUACGAAACACAAACAAAAUUUCGGUCCAACAGAUUCCAUAAAUAACAAAAUAGGGGUACGUAGAAAUAACGAAACAAAAACAGAUAAACAAAUGAUCGUUUACGAAGUCCAAAAUUCACAUCUAAAAAUACUAGAUAUAAAACAAAAGAAACUAAAAUCGAACACUAACUACAUCUAACGUUCACUCGGUCCCGACCCCGUCUGGCAAAUCAGUCUCGGUAUCUGGGUAAGCAACCAUACACUACAUUAGUCGGAUUAAGCAUACAAUACAAUAAAUAAAUGAAUACAAAAAUUAAUUCAAGCGACUGGUUUUCAAUUUGUCAAAUUUCAAAAAAACAAGAAUUUAUCAAAACUUAAAGUUCAGAUCGGUUUGAAAUUAUAAUUUUACAAAUGCAUUUCUCUUUCAGCAAAUAAACGAAAUAGAUAUUAAGUCUUCGGCAACUAACUAUAUUGUGUGAUUCGUUGGCGAGAUCCAGAGGCACCCGAAGGCGCAAACAAAACAGAGGCGCUCGAAGACGCAAACGAAACAGAGGCGCAGAUAGGCGCAGACACACGAAGGCGCAAUAUAAAGACGAAGCUCGCUUCUAUAACAAAAUACAUGUCGACAUGGCCAACAUAGCAUAGCAGAAUACCAGGAGACAUCAUAAUUCAAAAAUUAUCCAGUCACUAAUUUACAAAACAGAUUUUCAAAUUUCAAAAAUUUAUUUUGUUAAAAGGACCCGUCAAUCACAGUUGAAGCUCAAUAUACAGAAAUAUUAAAUAAUAUGCUUAACGCUUAAUUUUAAAAUCUACAAAAUAAGAUUUUCAUACAAUCGAAAUAUUUUUCUAAAUUAUUUUACGAAAAACUAACGGGUGUUCGGUCGCUUACCUUAACGCAGCUUUAAGGACAAAAAAUUUAUCCAAUC
rnacentral:lncRNA from 1 species